rnacentral:rRNA from 1 species
AACGAACGCUGGCGGCAUGCCUAACACAUGCAAGUCGAACGAGAUCUUCGGAUCUAGUGGCGCACGGGUGCGUAACGCGUGGGAAUCUACCCUUAGGUUCGGAAUAACUUCGGGAAACUGAAGCUAAUACCGGAUGAUGACGUAAGUCCAAAGAUUUAUCGCCUAAGGAUGAGCCCGCGUAGGAUUAGCUUGUUGGUGAGGUAAAGGCUCACCAAGGCGACGAUCCUUAGCUGGUCUGAGAGGAUGAUCAGCCACACUGGGACUGAGACACGGCCCAGACUCCUACGGGAGGCAGCAGUGGGGAAUAUUGGACAAUGGGCGAAAGCCUGAUCCAGCAAUGCCGCGUGAGUGAUGAAGGCCUUAGGGUUGUAAAGCUCUUUUACCCGGGAUGAUAAUGACAGUACCUGGAGAAUAAGCUCCGGCUAACUCCGUGCCAGCCGCCGCGGUAA